rnacentral:rRNA from 1 species
CCUUCACUCUGGGACAAGCCCUGGAAACGGGGUCUAAUACCGGAUAUGAGCCUGGGAGGCAUCUCCCGGGUUGUAAAGCUCCGGCGGUGAAGGAUGAGCCCGCGGCCUAUCAGCUUGUUGGUGAGGUAAUGGCUCACCAAGGCGACGACGGGUAGCCGGCCUGAGAGGGCGACCGGCCACACUGGGACUGAGACACGGCCCAGACUCCUACGGGAGGCAGCAGUGGGGAAUAUUGCACAAUGGGCGAAAGCCUGAUGCAGCGACGCCGCGUGAGGGAUGACGGCCUUCGGGUUGUAAACCUCUUUCAGCAGGGAAGAAGCGAGAGUGACGGUACCUGCAGAAGAAGCGCCGGCUAACUACGUGCCAGCAGCCGCGGUAAUACGUAGGGCGCAAGCGUUGUCCGGAAUUAUUGGGCGUAAAGAGCUCGUAGGCGGCUUGUCGCGUCGAUUGUGAAAGCCCGGGGCUUAACUCCGGGUCUGCAGUCGAUACGGGCUAGCUAGAGUGUGGUAGGGGAGAUCGGAAUUCCUGGUGUAGCGGUGAAAUGCGCAGAUAUCAGGAGGAACACCGGUGGCGAAGGCGGAUCUCUGGGCCAUUACUGACGCUGAGGAGCGAAAGCGUGGGGAGCGAACAGGAUUAGAUACCCUGGUAGUCCACGCCGUAAACGGUGGGAACUAGGUGUUGGCGACAUUCCACGUCGUCGGUGCCGCAGCUAACGCAUUA